ACGAACGCUGGCGGCGUGCCUAAUACAUGCAAGUCGAACGGUCUUUCUAUGGAAGCUUGCUUCCACUGAGAAGAUAGUGGCGAACGGGUGAGUAACACGUGGGUAACCUGCCCAUAAGAGGGGGAUAACAUCCGGAAACGGGUGCUAAUACCGCAUAGUUUUCUUGAUCGCAUGAUUGAGAAAGGAAAGACGGCCUUUGUGCUGUCGCUUAUGGAUGGACCCGCGGCGUAUUAGUUAGUUGGUGAGGUAACGGCUCACCAAGACGAUGAUACGUAGCCGACCUGAGAGGGUGAUCGGCCACAUUGGGACUGAGACACGGCCCAAACUCCUACGGGAGGCAGCAGUAGGGAAUCUUCCGCAAUGGACGAAAGUCUGACGGAGCAACGCCGCGUGAGUGAAGAAAAGGUUUUCGGAUCGUAAAACUCUGUUGUCAGAGAAGAACAAGUUGGAGAGUAACUGCUCCAGCCUUGACGGUAUCUGACCAGAAAGCCACGGCUAACUACGUGCCAGCCGCUGC
rnacentral:rRNA from 1 species